AGUGAACGCUGGCGGCAGGCCUAACACAUGCAAGUCGAACGGCAGCACAGGAGAGCUUGCUCUCUGGGUGGCGAGUGGCGGACGGGUGAGGAAUAUAUCGGAAUCUACCCUUUCGUGGGGGAUAACGUAGGGAAACUUACGCUAAUACCGCAUACGAACUGAGGUUGAAAGCGGCGGACCGCAAGGCGUCGCGCGGAUGGAUGAGCCGAUAUCCGAUUAGCUAGUUGGCGGGGUAAAGGCCCACCAAGCCGACGAUCGGUAGCUGGUCUGAGAGGAUGAUCAGCCACACUGGAACUGAGACACGGUCCAGACUCCUACGGGAGGCAGCAGUGGGGAAUAUUGGGCAAUGGGCGCAAGCCUGAUCCAGCCAUGCCGCGUGUGUGAAGAAGGCCUUCGGGUUGUAAAGCACUUUUGUUGGGAAAGAAAAGCGGUCGGUUAAUACCCGGUCGUUCUGACGGUACCCAAAGAAUAAGCACCGGCUAACUUCGUGCCAGCCGCCGCCGUAA
rnacentral:rRNA from 1 species